UUCGGAUAUUAAAUUAGAACAGUACGUAUAAAAAAAGCCCCGUUUUUACGGGGCUUUUUGUUAGUUGAAACUUUGAUUAUUCAAAAUAUUCUUAAGGUUGUUCUUUA
rfam:Maribacter arcticus strain DSM 23546 genome assembly, contig: LX93DRAFT_scaffold00010.10